AGUGAACGCUGGCGGCGUGCUUAACACAUGCAAGUCGAACGAGAACGGGUUAUAGCUUGCUAUAAUUGUCAGCUAAGUGGCGCACGGGUGAGUACUGUAUAGGUAAUAUGCCUCUUACUAAGGGAUAACAAAUGGAAACGUUUGCUAAUACCUUAUACUCCUUAUUAACAGCAGUUAAUAAGGGAAAGAUUUAUUGGUAAGAGAUUAGCCUGUAUUGUAUCAGUUAGUUGGUGGGGUAAUGGCUUACCAAGACUAUGACACAUAACUGGUUUGAGAGGAUGAUCAGUCACACUGGAACUGAGACACGGUCCAGACUCCUACGGGAGGCAGCAGUGGGGAAUAUUGCACAAUGGACGAAAGUCUGAUGCAGCAACGCCGCGUGGAGGAUGACACAUUUCGGUGCGUAAACUCCUUUUAUAUGAGAAGAUAAUGACGGUAUUAUAUGAAUAAGCACCGGCUAACUCCGUGCCAGCAGCCGCCGUAA
rnacentral:rRNA from 1 species